rnacentral:rRNA from 1 species
GUAGGUGGCAAGCGUUGUCCGGAAUUAUUGGGCGUAAAGCGCGCGCAGGCGGUUCUUUAAGUCUGAUGUGAAAGCCCACGGCUCAACCGUGGAGGGUCAUUGGAAACUGGGGAACUUGAGUACAGAAGAGGAAAGCGGAAUUCCACGUGUAGCGGUGAAAUGCGUAGAGAUGUGGAGGAACACCAGUGGCGAAGGCGGCUUUCUGGUCUGUAACUGACGCUGAGGCGCGAAAGCGUGGGGAGCAAACAGGGAUCAGAUACCCUGGUAGUCAACGCCGUAAACGAUGAGUGCUAAGUGUUAGGGGGGUUUCCGCCCCCCUUAGUGCUGCAGCUAACGCAUUAAGCACUCCGCCUGGGAGUACGGCCGCAAGGCUG